GCAGCAGCCGCGGGAAUACGAAGGGGGCUAGCGUUGUUCGGAAUCACUGGGCGUAAAGCGCACGUAGGCGGAUCUUUAAGUCAGGGGUGAAAUCCCGAGGCUCAACCUCGGAACUGCCUUUGAUACUGGGGAUCUCGAGUCCGGAAGAGGUAAGUGGAACUGCGAGUGUAGAGGUGAAAUUCGUAGAUAUUCGCAAGAACACCAGUGGCGAAGGCGGCUUACUGGUCCGGAACUGACGCUGAGGUGCGAAAGCGUGGGGAGCAAACAGGAUUAGAUACCCCCGUAGUCCCUGUCUCUUAUAC
rnacentral:rRNA from 1 species